rnacentral:rRNA from 1 species
UGGGGAAUCUUCCGCAAUGGACGAAAGUCUGACGGAGCAACGCCGCGUGUAUGAUGAAGGUCUUCGGAUUGUAAAGUACUGUCAUUGGGGAAGAACGGUUUUCUUGAAAAGAUUGAGAAGACAUGACGGUACCCAAGGAGGAAGCCCCGGCUAACUACGUGCCAGCAGCCGCGGUAAUACGUAGGGGGCAAGCGUUGUCCGGAAAUUAUUGGGCGUAAAGGGCGCGUAGGCGGGCCUUUAAGUCCGGUGUGAAAGAUCAGGGCUCAACCCUGAGAGUGCAUCGGAAACUGGAGGCCUUGAGGACAGGAGAGGAAAGUGGAAUUCCACGUGUAGCGGUGAAAUGCGUAGAUAUGUGGAGGAACACCAGUGGCGAAAGGCGACUUUCUGGACUGUAACUGACGCUGAGGCGCGAAAAGCGUGGGGAGCAAACAGGAUUAGAUACCCUGGUAGUCCACGCCGUAAACGAUGAGUGCUAGGUGUAGAGGGUAUCGACCCCCUUCUGU